rnacentral:rRNA from 1 species
UACGGAGGAUGCGAGCGUUAUCCGGAUUUAUUGGGUUUAAAGGGUGCGUAGGCGGGUUAUCAAGUCAGCGGUAAAAUCGUGGAGCUCAACUCCAUCCAGCCGUUGAAACUGAUGAUCUUGAGUGCGCGGAAGGCAGGCGGAAUUCGUGGUGUAGCGGUGAAAUGCUUAGAUAUCACGAAGAACCCCGAUUGCGAAGGCAGCCUGCCGCAGCGUUACUGACGCUGAAGCUCGAAAGCGCGGGUAUCGAACAGG